rnacentral:rRNA from 1 species
GAUGAACGCUGGCGGCGUGCCUAAUACAUGCAAGUCGAGCGAAUGGAUUAAGAGCUUGCUCUUAUGAAGUUAGCGGCGGACGGGUGAGUAACACGUGGGUAACCUGCCCAUAAGACUGGGAUAACUCCGGGAAACCGGGGCUAAUACCGGAUAACAUUUUGAACCGCAUGGUUCGAAAUUGAAAGGCGACUUCGGCUGUCACUUAUGGAUGGACCCGCGUCGCAUUAGCUAGUUGGUGAGGUAACGGCUCACCAAGGCAACGAUGCGUAGCCGAGAUGUGAGGGUGAUCGGCCACACUGGGACAGAGACACGGCCCAGACUCCUACGGGAGGCAGCAGUAGGGAAUCUUCCGCAAUGGACGAAAGUCUGACGGAGCAACGCCGCGUGAGUGAUGAAGGCUUUCGGGUCGUAAAACUCUGUUGUUAGGGAAGAACAAGUGCUAGUUGAAUAAGCUGGCACCUUGACGGUACCUAACCAGAAAGCCACGGCUAACUACGUGCCAGCCGCCGCGGUAA